UACGAAAGGGGCUAGCGUUGUUCGGAAUUACUGGGCGUAAAGCGCACGCAGGCGGCUCUGUAAGCUGGAGGUGAAAUCCCGGAGCUUAACUCCGGAACUGCCUUCAGGACUGCAGAGCUGGAGGACGCGAGAGGUGAGUGGAAUUCCGAGUGUAGAGGUGAAAUUCGUAGAUAUUCGGAAGAACACCGGUGGCGAAGGCGGCUCACUGGCGCGUUUCUGACGCUCAGGUGCGAAAGCGUGGGGAGCAAACAGG
rnacentral:rRNA from 1 species